CCCCACUUGCCGCGGAUUAAACCAUUCUACAUACCGCAGGUCAGUGCCAACUGUGCGAGGGAGCGUCUCUGAAAAGAUGUAUCAUGGAGCUGAGGAAACAGAACCAGAACACAACGUGGUGCCGAGAGAGGGGGAAUACGGGCACGCUGUAGGCAGGAGGGAUCAGUUUCGUUAGAGACAUGGCUCACUCUGAACAUGCCUGAUGUGUUGGUAAGACCCAGAGACUUCUCGAUACACAGGAUGGAUUGAACUGCUGAUUCAGAGAAGGCAAAAGUUUACAUACCACCAAAGACUGACGUUAAUCAGGCACUCAAGAUAUUGAAGGCUGUCAUCACCAAUCAAGAAACCAGAUGCAUUUGAAAUUAUAGCUGGGAACUUCAAUCAAGCUUGUUUAAAGGAAGCUAUGCCUAAUUAUCACCAGCAUAUAACAUGCAGCACCAGGGGUCCCAAUACACCGAACCACGGCUGUACUACAAUAACAAAUGCCUACGGUUCCACACCCAGACCACAUGUUGAGAAAUCUGAUCAUUUGGCUGUCCUUCUACUUACAUAACACAGGGGCUAAAGAGCAAGACUCCAGGGAUUAGGACAACAAAGCGGUAGUUGCAGGAGGCAGAGGGUUGCUACACGAUUGCUUAAAGUCAGUAAGAUGUUCAAUGACUCAUCAGAGAAUCUGACUGAAACCAUAAUGGUUGUCACAUAACUUAUAAGAACAGUCCUAGAUGAGUAUGUUCUUACUCAUGAAAAGUAUGAGAUUUACAAAGAUGUUGCCUGGAUUGGGGAGCGUGCCUUAUGAGAAUAGAUUGAGUAAACUCGGCCUUUUUUCCUUGGAGCGACGGAGGAUGAGAGGUGGCCUGAUGGAGGUGUACAGAUGAUGAGAGGCAUUGAUCGUGUGAAUAGUCAGAGGCUUUUCCCAGGGCUGAAAUAGCUAGCAAGAGAGGGCACAGUUUUAAGAUGCUUGGAAGUAGGUACAGAGGAGAUGUCAGGGGUGAGUUUUUUUACGCAGAGAGUGGUGAGUGUGUGGAAUGAGCUGCUGGCGACAGUGGUGGAGGUGGAUACAAUAGGGUCUUUUAAGAGACUCCUGGAUGGCUACAUGGAGCUCAGAGAAAUAGGCUAUGAGUAAAGCCUCGGUAAUUUCCAAGGUAAGGACAGGUUGGGCACAGCUUUGUGGGUCGAAGGGCCUGUAUUGUGCUGUAGCUUUUCUGUGUGUCUAUGUUUUUAUGUCUAUGUUUCUACGUUCCCAAAAAAUCAUUCAGAAUAGUCCCCAACCAGAGGUCCUGGAUGAAGCUUGAGACCCACGAUCUUCUGAGGGCCAGAUCAGUGGCAUUCAGGUCUGGCGGCCAAGUAAGAUACAAAAAGCCCAGGUAUGAUCUCUAGAAAGCCACCUCAUGUGUGGUGGCAAUUCCAGACCAAACUUGAAUCACUGCAGGACGUUCGAUAGCUCUGCUUACUUACUGACUGCCCAUUAUGCCUCUGACACUUAGGGCAGCAAUGAAGGACCUACAUCUCUGUCUGUCCUUGGCCAUCUUCUCUGUUGUGCCCCAGGUGUGGUUCAGGGUCCUCAUUUCUGCCGAGUUGUUUUUGGCCUCCCCUUUCAGUGGUCCAAUGAAGUGCUGUCUUGAUGAUUGAGUUGGCCUCUCUUCUCAUCCCAUCUCCAACAUUUCCUCAGGAUGAUUGUGGCCAUGUCCUCUUGAUGUUACUGAAGGAGUAGUGUGUGGUUGGAGAUCUUUCUUGGCUAGAAAAUACAGAGGAUCUUCCAGAGGCUCAAGGUGUGGAAUGAUGACAGCUUCACAAGGUUCGCUCUCUGACCCGUGCAAGAAUGUGGACAGAAUGCAACUCUGGUACAGCUUCACCUUGGCAUGGACGCUAUACUUGGCUGAUCCCCAUAUGUUGCUCAUUGAUCUGAAGACAUUUCUAGAUUUACUGAGUCUGCACUGGAUGUCAUCCCGGGUCCCACCUGGAAUGAUGCUGUCCAGGUAGGUGAAUCUUCCAGUGCUGGGUAAGUUGAUGCCUUAUGCCUUGACAGGAGGAGGAGGCUGUACAUUGACAUUCAUGGUCUUAGUCUUCCUCUGGAUGACUCUGAGUCCAACCUGUCCACCAAAGGUCCACAGGCUCUGAGCUCUCUCCUGCAUGGGCUGCUGUGUAUGUGACAGAACUGCGAGGUCAUCUGCAAAGAUAAGGUCUUCCAAAGUAGAAAAUGGAGUUCACCAUCUUAUCCUUUGUUAUCUGCCUCAUAACUCAGCCAAUCACAAGGUUAAACAAAAUUGCCAACAUCACACAGCCUUGCCUGACUCCUGUUUUGACUUCAAGGUUCAAAUUGCAGUCCUCGACUGUGCAGGUGAAAUUAGCACAGAAACUCUGGAUACGCUGAACAAUUUUGGAGGGGAUCUCACAUGAUCUGAGAAUUCACCAGCGGCUCUCCCUGUGGAUGCUAUCAAAGCAUUUUUAAAGUCUACAAAAUUCACAUACAGUUGUCUCUGCCACUCUGCUCUCUGUUCUGUGAUGUUACACAGCGUGAAGAUCUGGUCAGCACAGCUUCUGUUCUUCCUGAAACCAGCUUGCUCCUUCCUCAAGCGCACAUCGACAGCAUCUUUAAUCCUCUGGACGAUGACUGGUGAGAAUCUUGCUGGGCACUGACAAAAGUGCGAUGCCACGCCAGUUGUUGCAAUCACUAAGCGCUCCUUUCUUAAGGACCCUAACAGUAACUCCCUUUAUCUGGUGCUUGGGUACUUGUCCCCGGUCCCAGAUUAUAGUAAACGGUGGCUGUAGGAUAACUGCUGCAAAUUUUGGUUCAGCCUUGAACAGGUCACCAUUCGAAUUGUCACAUCCUGGAGCUUUGCUGUUCUUUAAUGAUUUAAUCACAGCAACAAUCUCUUCUUUCUUGGGUGGGUCUGUGUUGAAGUCCUUUGUUGCCUUUUGUAUCUCAGGUUUUCAUCUGGUGGUGCUCUAUUCAGUAAUUCUCUGAAAUGCUCUUUCUCAGUUGUCAAAAGCAGACCAUCCUUCUCUCUCACAGGACUACUGGAUCUGGCCUGGAACUUUACACAUACUGUAACAAUUUUGAAAUCUUGUAUACAUUUCCUGGUCACUUCAAUUGGCUGCUGCUCCGGCCUCCACUCAAGGACUUCCAUGUGGAUUCUCUUAUCCUUUCUUAGAAAGUCUCUUCACAUUCUUGUUCGCUUCAGUGUAUACUAGUUGAAAAUUCACCUUAAUUUGGGUUGACUUUGUAUCUAACACUUUCUUCUUAAUUAUCAGCUUUCUUCUAAGGCUGUCAGUGUUUCCUGCUGUAUCCAUUCUUUACUCUUUUUCAAAGCUCUGCAUCCUAGACAAGCCUCGCUGCUGUCCUUGAAGACCGAGGCAAUCCGUUAUUCGACAGACCUAGGCAGGGCUUGAAUGCUAUCACCUCGUACAAAGUGAAACCGAGCAACAUAGGCAACAACAAGGCUUAGUCCCAGAUGAUCCAUCAAUGCUUGCUUUGACUGUCAGAACACAGCCCCUGAUGACCCUGUCAGUUCAGUCUCUGAGCAUCCUUCAGGAGGGUGAACCCACAGAAAACAUCCAGCCCAGAUAGGAUACCUAGCCAAGUAUGAAAGGCCUGCGCUGAUCAAUGGCUGAAGUGUUUGCUGAGAUCUUCAGCCUCUCGCUUCAGCAGUCUGAGGUACCCACCUACUUCAAGCAGACUUCAAUUAUACCAGUGCAUAAGAGGAUCGUGGUAAUAUGCCUCAAUGACUAGCAUCCAGUAGCUCUUAUAUCCACCUGAUGAAGUGCCACGAGAGGCUGUUGAUAAAGCAUAUCAUCUCCUGCCUGAGAAGCAACUUGGAUCCACUCCAAUUUGCCUACUGGUACAACAGGUCCACAGCAAAUGCUACUUCAUUGGCUCCACUCAACCCUGGGACAUCUGGACAGCAAAGAUGCAUACAUCAAGAUGCUCUUUACAGACUACAGCUCAACAUUCAAUACCAUCAUCCCCUCAGAACUAAUCAAUAAGCUUGAUCAGGCCUCAAAUCCUCCUUGUGCAAUUGGAUCCUCGACUUCCUCACUUGCAGAACCCAAUCAGUUUGGAUUGGCAACAACAUCUCCUCCACAAUCUCCAUCAUUACAGGUGCUUCACAAGGCUGUGUGCUUAGCCCCCUGCUCUGCUCACUUUACACUUGUGAUUGUGGCUAAGCACAGCUCAAAUGCUAUAUCCAAAUUUGCUGACAACACCACUGUCAGUGGCCAAAUCAAAGGUGGUGACAAAUCAGCAUACAGGAGGGAGACUGGAAAUCUGGCUGAGUGGUGCCACACCAACAACCUCUCACUCGAUGUCAGCAAGACCGAGGAGUUGAUUAUUGACGUCAGGAGGAGGAAACCAGAACCAAUCCUCUGGAGGUGGAGAGGGUCAGCAGCUUGAAAUUGCUCGGUGUUAUCAUUUCUGAGGAGCUGUCCUGGGCCCAGCGUGUCAGUGCAACUACAAAGAAAGCAUGGGAGUGUAUCACCUUUCUUAGAAGAUUUGACAUGACAUCUAAAACUUUGACCAACUUCUAUAGGUGUGUGGUGGAGAGUAUAUUGUCAGCUUGGUAUGGAAAUACCAAUGCCCUUGAACAGAAAAUUGUACAAAAAGUAGUGAAUAUGGCCAGUCCAUGGCGGGUAAAGCCCUUCCCACCACUGAGCACAACUACAUUGAACACUGUCGCAGGGAACCAACGAGGACCCCACCACCCAGCCCAUGCUCUCUUCAAACCUUUGCCAUCAGGAAGAAGGUACAGGUGCCUCAGGGACAGUUAUUACUCCUCAAGAAUCAGAUGCCUGAACAUUAGGGGAUAACUUCACCAGCACUAAACUGUUCCCACAACCGAUGACUCACUUUCAAGGACACAUCAUCUCAUGUUUCCGAUAUUUAUUGUUUUUUUUUCAUUUUUAUAUUUGCACAGUUUGUUGUCUUUUGCACACUGGUUGUUUGUCCUUCAUUUUGGGUGUGCUCUGUCAUUGAUUCCAUUGUGUCUCUUGGACUUACUGUGUAUGCCUGCAUGAAAAUGAACCUCAGCAUUGUAAAUGGUGACAUACAAGUACUUUGACAAUAAAUUUACUUCGAACUUUCAAUUUAUAAAUACAAUAUGGAAUAUAGCCUUUUGGCCCAAUGAGCUGUGCUGACCAGCAACACACCUAUUGAACCCAAGCCUAA